rnacentral:rRNA from 1 species
ACGUAGGGUCCAAGCGUUGUCCGGAAUUAUUGGGCGUAAAGGGCUUGUAGGCGGUCCGUCGCGUCAGAAGUGAAAACUCAGGGCUCAACCCUGAGCCUGCUUUUGAUACGGGCGGACUAGAGGGAUGCAGGGGAGAACGGAAUUCCUGGUGGAGCGGUGAAAUGCGCAGAUAUCAGGAGGAACACCGGUGGCGAAGGCGGUUCUCUGGGCAUUACCUGACGCUGAGAAGCGAAAGCGUGGGGAGCAAACAGGCUUAGAUACCCUGGUAGUCCACGCCGUAAACGGUGGGCACUAGGUGUGGGGGACAUUCCACGUUCUCCGUGCCGAAGCUAACGCAUUAAGUGCCCCGCCUGGGGAGUACGGCCGCAAGGCUA